rnacentral:rRNA from 1 species
UAAGAGCUCAGAUCUGAAAUCUGGCUCCNUCGGAGUCCGARUUGUAAUUUGUCGAAGAUGCUUUGGGUUGUGGGUUCGGCCUAAGUUCCUUGGAACAGGACGUCAUACAGGCUGAGAAUCCGGUAUGUGGCCGAGGCCUACGCCUAUGUAAAGCUCUUUCGACGAGUCGAGUGGUUUGGGAAUGCAGCUCAGAAUGGGUGGUAAAUUUCAUCUAAAGCUAAAUAUGGGCCAGAGACCGCUAGCGNACAAGUAGAGUGAUCGACAGAUGAAAAGCACUUUGGAAAGAGAGUUAAACAGUACGUGAAAUUGAAAAAGGGAAGCGCUUGCACCCAGACUUGGGCGCUGCUGAUCACCUUGAGUUCUUCUCAAGUGCACUGGACAGCGCACAGGCCAGCGUCGGUUCGAGUGGCUGGAUAAAGGCCGUAGGGGCGUAGCUCCCUUCGGGGAGUGUUAUAGCCUACGGUGCCAUGCAGCCCAGCCGGACCGAGGACCCGCCCUUCGGGCUAGGAUGCUGUGAUGGGUGUAAGCGACCCG